rnacentral:siRNA from 1 species
AUCAAGUGCUGUGUGGUUUGGUUG